AUUAACCGUGAACUUAGGUUAGUUUAGGUUUCCUUACGUUCACUUAUAAUAUCGGUACUAUGUUUGUUGGUCGAGCGGAAUCGUAAAAAGUUGAGUUUCAAGUCGCAGAAUCGUAAGCAGUGGCGUAGUGACGACUACUCCUAAUUCCCCCUCCCCUCCCCCCAAUCGCCACAAAAGUGCAACAUUCCGAUCUAAGUGCAACAUUCCGAUCAAAAUGAAAUUGGGUUUUCCUCCCAGCAAUCAUAGAGGGGAAAAAAGGUGACACGGAUCCAUCCUCCAGUUUUCCAAGGUGACUUUUCCAAUUGUUUAAUUUCCGAAAACAAAUGUCUGGGACAAUGUACUUCUCCUAAAUGUCACCCCAAACUGCUUGAAAUCGCGUUUCAGGGACUCCAGAUUUCAAACUUUUUCCGGGGGAGCAUGCCCGGAACAUGCAUGAGCCAUGCCUUUGGUUUUCGUUUCGCUUUUCCGUUUUUAUUUUAUUUUCCGUUUCGGUUUUCGUUUCGCUUUUUCGUUUUUAUUUCCAAAAAUAUGGCCUUGUCUACGCGACUGCUGAUUAGCUUUAAUUCAUGUAUUGUCACACGUUGCCAGUUAAUUAUAAGCCAAUAAAUGGAAUAUUUCGAUUGCUUAUCGCGAUCGUGAUCAAUUUGUAUCUAAUACCUUAUUAAUAUUAUAUUAUUAGUGUAGGUCGUAGAGUAUUCCAAUUGCUGUAGUUUGCUGCACUUUUAUAUUAAUCAAAUCUACGCCGAACCUGUUUCACACAAGUUUCAUGUCCGCCACGUUCCUCCAAACAGACCCUGUUCAGAUCUUGUCAUGUGCAUGACAUCCCAGAUUUUGGG